UACGUAGGAGGCAAGCGUUGUUCGGAUUUACUGGGCGUAAAGGGCGCGUAGGCGGUCGUGACAAGUCACUUGUGAAAUCUCCGGGCUUAACUCGGAACGGUCAAGUGAUACUGUCGGACUAGAGUACAGAAGGGGCAACUGGAAUUCUCGGUGUAGCGGUGAAAUGCGUAGAUAUCGAGAGGAACACCUGCGGCGAAGGCGGGUUGCUGGGC
rnacentral:rRNA from 1 species